rnacentral:rRNA from 1 species
UGGUAAUGCCGGAUGCUCCAUCACACCGCAUGGUGUGUUGGGAAAGCCUUUGCGGCAUGGGAUGGGGUCGCGUCCUAUCAGCUUGAUGGCGGGGUAACGGCCCACCAUGGCUUCGACGGGUAGCCGGCCUGAGAGGGCGACCGGCCACAUUGGGACUGAGAUACGGCCCAGACUCCUACGGGAGGCAGCAGUGGGGAAUAUUGCACAAUGGGCGCAAGCCUGAUGCAGCGACGCCGCGUGAGGGAUGGAGGCCUUCGGGUUGUAAACCUCUUUUGUUAGGGAGCAAGGCAUUUUGUGUUGAGUGUACCUUUCGAAUAAGCACCGGCUAACUACGUGCCAGCAGCCGCGGUAAUACGUAGGGUGCAAGCGUUAUCCGGAAUUAUUGGGCGUAAAGGGCUCGUAGGCGGUUCGUCGCGUCCGGUGUGAAAGUCCAUCGCUUAACGGUGGAUCCGCGCCGGGUACGGGCGGGCUUGAGUGCGGUAGGGGAGACUGGAAUUCCCGGUGUAACGGUGGAAUGUGUAGAUAUCGGAAAAGAACACCA